rnacentral:rRNA from 1 species
AUUGAACGCUGGCGGCAUGCUUUACACAUGCAAGUCGAACGGUAACAGGUUAAGCUGACGAGUAGCGAACGGGUGAGUAAUGCAUCGGAACGUGCCCGGUCGUGGGGGAUAACGCAGCGAAAGCUGCGCUAAUACCGCAUACGAUCUGAGGAUGAAAGCGGGGGACCGUAAGGCCUCGCGCGAUCGGAGCGGCCGAUGUCAGAUUAGGUAGUUGGUGAGGUAAAGGCUCACCAAGCCAACGAUCUGUAGCUGGGCUGAGAGGACGACCAGCCACACUGGGACUGAGACACGGCCCAGACUCCUACGGGAGGCAGCAGUGGGGAAUUUUGGUCAAUGGGCGAAAGCCUGAUCCAGCAAUGCCGCGUGCAGGAAGAAGGCCUUCGGGUUGUAAACUGCUUUUGUACGGAGCGAAAAGGUCUCCUCUAAUACAGGGGGCUCAUGACGGUACCGUAAGAAUAAGCACCGGCUAACUACGUGCCAGCCGCCGCCGUAA